rnacentral:rRNA from 1 species
UACGUAGGUGGCGAGCGUUAUCCGGAAUUAUUGGGCGUAAAGAGCGCGCAGGUGGUUGAUUAGGUCUGAUGUGAAAGCCCACGGCUUAACCGUGGAGGGUCAUUGGAAACUGGUCGACUUGAGUGCAGAAGAGGGAAGUGGAAUUCCAUGUGUAGCGGUGAAAUGCGUAGAGAUAUGGAGGAACACCAGUGGCGAAGGCGGCUUCCUGGUCUGUAACUGACACUGAGGCGCGAAAGCGUGGGGAGCAAACAGG